GAAAAUCAAAGAAAAUGGAAUAAAUGGAAAAAAUCACAACCACGUGAUGGAGCUCAUUAAUUGACGUGGCAUCAAGGGACGGUCCAGAUCAUAGGGAACACGAUGCAUCCAAGUCAAACGCGCUAUAACAUGUAUUAAAAUAAGUAAACACAAUGGAUGCACACGAUUAGAUCCUGAACACAAGAUCCAAAGGCCAUGAAGGUGAACACGUGGUGAUGGUGGUGGAAACCACCAUCUUC
rnacentral:lncRNA from 1 species